CAGAUUAAAGCUUUUUAAGCAUUUUAGUUACAUUAAAAAGAUUAUUAUUAAAUUAAUAUAGUCUGA
rnacentral:tRNA from 1 species